rnacentral:misc_RNA from 1 species
AUUCUUUUUUUUUUUUUUGAAGAAAUGUUUGGUGAAAAUUCUUUACUUAAUGAAUCUGUGUUUAAUCAAAUUUUGAGUUGAGAUUAUCCUGUUAGAUCCACAGGUGGCCUGAUAUGGAUUAAUACAUGUGAAGGGCAUUGUAUUUAUUUCUUUUGUGUUUCGGUUACCAGUUUGCCUAUUUUGCAGUUGUAUUUGUCAUGCUAUAUGCUAUUUAGACAAAUGUCUGUCAAGAUUGUUAUUUGUUUGAUUUGUGU